UAAAACAAAGAAGGGAAGAAUCAUUCCCUGCC
rnacentral:piRNA from 1 species